rnacentral:tRNA from 1 species
CAAGUGGAUAUAGUUUAUAAAAAUGUUAGUCUGUGGCCCUAACGAAAAGAGUCAAAACUCUUUAUCCACC